rnacentral:rRNA from 1 species
GACGAACGCUGGCGGCGUGCUUAACACAUGCAAGUCGAACGAUGAAGGCCGGUCUUGCUCGGUCUUAUUAGCGGCGAACAGGUGAGUAACACGUGAGCAACCUGCCCUUCACUCUGGGAUACCCCCGGUAAAUCCGGGCUAUUACCCGGUAUGAGCUCCUGACGCAUGGCGGUUGUUUUUAAGUUUUUCGGUGAAGGAUGGGCUCGCGGCUUAUCAGUUUGUUGGUGAGGUAGUGGCUCACCAAGGCGAUGACGGGUAGCCGGCCUGAGAGGGCGACCGGCCACACUGGGACUGAGACACGGCCCAGACUCCUACGGGAGGCAGCAGUGGGGAAUAGUGCACAAUGGGCGAAAGCCUGAUGCAGCGACGCCGCGUGAGGGAUGACGGCCUUCGGGUUGUAAACCUCUUUCAGCAGGGAAGAAGCGAAAGUGACGGUACCUGCAGAAGAAGCGCCGGCUAACUACGUG